UGACGCGUGGGUAACCUGCCGUAUACAGGGGGAUAACACUUAGAAAUAGGUGCUAAAACCGCAUAAGCGCACAGGAUCGCAUGGUCCGGUGUGAAAAACUCCGGUGGUAUACGAUGGACCCGCGUCUGAUUAGCUUGUUGGCGGGGUAGAGGCCCACCAAGGCGACGAUCAGUAGCCGGCCUGAGAGGGUGAACGGCCACAUUGGGACUGAGACACGGCCCAAACUCCUACGGGAGGCAGCAGUGGGGAAUAUUGCACAAUGGGGGAAACCCUGAUGCAGCGACGCCGCGUGAGUGAAGAAGUAUUUCGGUAUGUAAAGCUCUAUCAGCAGGAAAGAAAAUGACGGUACCUGACUAAGAAGCCCCGGCUAACUACGUGCCAGCAGCCGCGGUAAUACGUAGGGGGCAAGCGUUAUCCGGAUUUACUGGGUGUAAAGGGAGCGUAGACGGUGAAGCAAGUCUGAAGUGAAAGGCGGGGGCUCAACCCCCGGACUGCUUUGGAAACUGUUUGACUGGAGUGCAGGAGAGGUAAGUGGAAUUCCUAGUGUAGCGGUGAAAUGCGUAGAUAUUAGGAGGAACACCAGUGGCGAAGGCGGCUUACUGGACUGUAACUGACGUUGAGGCUCGAAAGCGUGGGGAGCAAACAGGAUUAGAUACCCUGGUAGUCCACGCGGUAAACGAUGACCACUAGGUGU
rnacentral:rRNA from 1 species